GAUGAACGCUGGCGGCGUGCCUAACACAUGCAAGUCGAACGGAAAGGCCCUGCUCUUGUGGGGUGCUCGAGUGGCGAACGGGUGAGUAACACGUGAGUAACCUGCCCUUGACUUUGGGAUAACUUCAGGAAAAUGGGGCUAAUACCGGAUAGGAGCUCCUGCUGCACGGUGGGGGUUGGAAAGAUUCGGCGGUUGGGGAUGGACUCGCGGCUUAUCAGCUUGUUGGUGGGGUAGUGGCUUACCAAGGCUUUGACGGGUAGCCGGCCUGGGAGGGUGACCGGCCACAUUGGGACUGCGAUACGGCCCAGACUCCUACGGGAGGCAGCAGUGGGAAAUAUUGCACAGUGGGCGGAAGCCUGAUACGGCAGCGCCGCGUGCGGGAUGACGGCCUUCGGGUUGUAAACCGCUUUCGCCUGUGACGAAGCGUGAGUGACGGUAAUGGGUAAAGAAGCACCGGCUAACUACGUG
rnacentral:rRNA from 1 species